rnacentral:rRNA from 1 species
CCCUUAGAUGUUCUGGGCCGCACACGCGCUACACUGAAGGAGGCAGCGUGUACUCCUGGAUCGAAAGAUUUGGGUAACCCGCGAAUCUCCUUCGUGCUAGGGAUUGAGGUUUGCAAUUAUCCUUCAUGAACGAGGAAUUCCCAGUAAGUGCAAGUCAUAAGCUUGCGCUGACUACGUCCCUGCCCUUUGUACACACCGCCCGUCGCUACUACCGAUUGAAUGAUUUAGUGAGGACUUCGGACUGGGACCGAUGCGGCUUUCGGGCUGCGUCGGUAUUCUGGAAAGAUGUCCAAACUGUAUCAUUUAGAGGAAGUAAAANUCGUANCG